rnacentral:rRNA from 1 species
GUCUACGGCCACACCACCCUGACACGCCCGGUGUCGUCUGAUCUCGGAAGCUAAGCAGGGUCGGGCCUGGUUAGUACUUGGAUGGGAGAAGCACCAUGGUAAUUUCGAGACC